GCCUGAGUGGUGGCGUGUGCUUGUAGUCCCGGCUACUUAGGAGGCUGAGGCAGGAGGAUCGCUUGAGCCCAGGAGUGCUGGGCUGUAGUGCGCUAUGCCGAUCGGGUGUCCGCAUAAGUUUGGAAUCAAUAUGAUGACCUCCCGGGAGCCGGGACCACCAGGUUGCCUAAGGAGGGGUGAACCGGCCCAGGUCAGAAAUGUAGCAGGUCAAAACUCCCGUGCUGAUCAAAGACCCCAAUUGCCAACAGAAGCUCCCUAGCAAAUAUUU
rnacentral:SRP_RNA from 1 species